AGGAUAAACGCUGGCGGCGUGCCUAACACAUGCAAGUCGAACGCGCUUUCUUCGCAAGAGGGGAGCGAGUGGCGGACGGGUGAGUAACACAUGGGUACCUACCUUCCAGUGAGGGAUACCGGCGAGAAAUCGCCGACAAUACCGCAUAGGCUUGUCUUACGACAAGCAAAGUGACGCGAGUCACGCUGGGAGAUGGGCCUGUGGCCGAUUAGCUAGUUGGGGGGGUAACGCCUCCCAAGGCGACGAUCGGUAGCUGGUCUGAGAGGACGAUCAGCCACACUGGGAUUGAGAACGGCCCAGACUCCUACGGGGGGCAGCAGUGAGGAAUUUUCCGCAAUGGAGGCAACUCUGACGGAGCAACGCCGCGUGCAGGAGGAAGGUUUUCGGAUCGUAAACUGCUUUUCUCGGGGACGAGGCAAGGGACGGUACCCGAGGAACGAAGCCCCGGCUAACUACGUGCCAGCAGCCGC
rnacentral:rRNA from 1 species